AGAGUUUGAUCAUGGCUCAGGAUGAACGCUAGCGACAGGCCUAACACAUGCAAGUCGAGGGGCAGCGGGAGCAAAGCUUGCUUUGCUUGCCGGCGACCGGCGCACGGGUGAGUAACGCGUAUGCAACCUGCCUGUAACAGGGGGAUAACCCGGAGAAAUCCGGCCUAACACCGCAUAACACAUGUAAGCCGCAUGGUUUUCAUGUCAAAUAUUCGUAGGUUACAGAUGGGCAUGCGUCCGAUUAGCUAGUUGGCGGGGUAACGGCCCACCAAGGCUGCGAUCGGUAGGGGUUCUGAGAGGAAGGUCCCCCACAUUGGAACUGAGACACGGUCCAAACUCCUACGGGAGGCAGCAGUGAGGAAUAUUGGUCAAUGGACGGAAGUCUGAACCAGCAAUGUCGCGUGAAGGAGGAAGGUACUAUGUAUUGUAAACUUCUUUUGCCUGGGGGUAAAGUGGGUCACGUGUGGCCUAUUGCAAGUACCAGGCGAAUAAGCAUCGGCUAACUCCGUGCCAGCAGCCGCGGUAAUACGGAGGAUGCGAGCGUUAUCCGGAUUUAUUGGGUUUAAAGGGUGCGUAGGCGGGACGUCAAGUCAGCGGUGAAAUACUGUGGCUCAACCAUAGCAUUGCCGUUGAAACUGGCGACCUUGAGUGCGGCAGAGGUAGGCGGAAUGUGUGGUGUAGCGGUGAAAUGCUUAGAUAUCACACAGAACACCGAUUGCGAAGGCAGCUUACUGGAGCGCAACUGACGCUGAGGCACGAAAGCGUGGGUAUCGAACAGGAUUAGAUACCCUGGUAGUCCACGCUGUAAACGAUGAUGACUAGCUGUUGGCGAUACAAUGUCAGCGGCACAGCGAAAGCGUUAAGUCAUCCACCUGGGGAGUACGCCGGCAACGGUGAAACUCAAAGGAAUUGACGGGGGCCCGCACAAGCGGAGGAACAUGUGGUUUAAUUCGAUGAUACGCGAGGAACCUUACCCGGGCUUGAAAGUUAGCGACGUAUCUGGAGACAGAUAUUCCCGCGAGGGCGCGAAACUAGGUGCUGCAUGGUUGUCGUCAGCUCGUGCCGUGAGGUGUCGGCUUAAGUGCCAUAACGAGCGCAACCCCUAUCGUCAGUUACUAUCAGGUAGAGCUGAGGACUCUGGCGAGACUGCCGCCGUAAGGUGCGAGGAAGGCGGGGAUGACGUCAAAUCAGCACGGCCCUUACGUCCGGGGCUACACACGUGUUACAAUGGCCGGUACAGAGGGCAGCGACGCCGCGAGGCGGAGCGAAUCUCCAAAAGCCGGUCUCAGUUCGGAUCGGAGUCUGCAACCCGACUCCGUGAAGCUGGAUUCGCUAGUAAUCGCGCAUCAGCCAUGGCGCGGUGAAUACGUUCCCGGGCCUUGUACACACCGCCCGUCAAGCCAUGAAAGCCGGGGGCGCCUGAAGUCCGCUACCGCGAGGGGCGGCCUAGGGCGAAACUGGUAAUUGGGGCUAAGUCGUAACAAGGUAGCCGUACCGGAAGGUGCGGCUGGAACACCUCCUU
rnacentral:rRNA from 1 species